GUGAACGCUGGCGGCGUGCCUAACACAUGCAAGUCGAACGAUGAUAGAGAGCUUGCUCUCUUGAUUAGUGGCGCACGGGUGAGUAUACCAUAGAUAAUGUACCUCUUAGCUCGGGAUAGCCACUGGAAACGGUGAUUAAUACCGGAUACUCCUUCUUACUCUAAGGUAAGUCGGGAAAGUUUUUUCGCUAAGAGAUCAGUCUAUGUCCUAUCAGCUAGUUGGUGAGGUAAUGGCUCACCAAGGCUAUGACGGGUAUCUGGUUUGAGAGGAUGAUCAGACACACUGGAACUGAGACACGGUCCAGACUCCUACGGGAGGCAGCAGUGAGGAAUAUUGCACAAUGGAGGAAACUCUGAUGCAGCAACGCCGCGUGGAGGAUGACGCAUUUCGGUGUGUAAACCUCUUUUGAUUCGCCAUCGAGGCGAAUAGAAUAAGCGCCUACUAACUACGU
rnacentral:rRNA from 1 species